rnacentral:rRNA from 1 species
ACUCCUACGGGAGGCAGCAGUGGGGAAUAUUGCACAAUGGGCGCAAGCCUGAUGCAGCCAUGCCGCGUGUAUGAAGAAGGCCUUCGGGUUGUAAAGUACUUUCAGCAGUGAGGAAGGUGGGUAUGUUAAUAGCAUACUCAUUUGACGUUAGCUGCAGAAGAAGCACCGGCUAACUCCGUGCCAGCAGCCGCGGUAAUACGGAGGGUGCGAGCGUUAAUCGGAAUUACUGGGCGUAAAGCGCAUGCAGGUGGUUUGUUAAGUCAGAUGUGAAAGCCCGGGGCUCAACCUCGGAAUUGCAUUUGAAACUGGCAAACUAGAGUACUGUAGAGGGGGGUAGAAUUUCAGGUGUAGCGGUGAAAUGCGUAGAGAUCUGAAGGAAUACCGGUGGCGAAGGCGGCCCCCUGGACAGAUACUGACACUCAGAUGCGAAAGCGUGGGGAGCAAACAGGAUUAGAUACCCUGGUAGCUUCGUC